GAUGAACGCUAGCGGCAGGCUUAAUACAUGCAAGUCGAGGGGCAGCAUGAUUGUAGCAAUACAAUUGAUGGCGACCGGCAAACGGGUGCGGAACACGUACACAACCUUCCAACAAGUGGGGGAUAGCCCAGAGAAAUUUGGAUUAAUACCCCGUAACAUAGCGAUGUGGCAUCACAUUGCUAUUAUAGAUUUGUCGCUUGUUGAUGGGUGUGUGGCUGAUUAGAUAGUUGGCGGGGUAACGGCCCACCAAGUCUACGAUCAGUAGCUGAUGUGAGAGCAUGAUCAGCCACACGGGCACUGAGACACGGGCCCGACUCCUACGGGAGGCAGCAGUAAGGAAUAUUGGACAAUGGACGCAAGUCUGAUCCAGCCAUGCCGCGUGAAGGAUUAAGGUCCUCUGGGUUGUAAACUUCUUUUAUAAGGGACGAAAAAAGGCUUUUCUAAGUCGUCUGACGGUACCUUAUGAAUAAGCACCGGCUAACUACGUGCCAGCAGCCGCCGUAAGAC
rnacentral:rRNA from 1 species